rnacentral:rRNA from 1 species
AUAACGACUCUCGGCAACGGAUAUCUCGGCUCUCGCAUCGAUGAAGAACGUAGUGAAAUGCGAUACUUGGUGUGAAUUGCAGAAUCCCGUGAACCAUCGAGUCUUUGAACGCAAGUUGCGCCCGAAGCCUUUGGCCGAGGGCACGUCUGCCUGGGCGUCACGC